GUUAAGGGGUUUGUUGUCUGGUUCAAGGCCUCCUGUCCUACAUCACAUUUUUUUUCCUUUGUUCUGAAUUUCUGAUGGAUGUGUGUGCGCAUGAUGCAUGGCUGGUGGUGACCUCGGACCAGGCUUCAUUCCCUUUAAC
rnacentral:pre_miRNA from 1 species